GGCUCCGGCUAUCACUACGGGAGGGCCCGCGGCGCAUUAGCUAGUUGGUAAGGUAAUGGCUUACCAAGGCGACGAUGCGUAGCCGACCUGAGAGGGUGAUCGGCCACACUGGGACUGAAACACGGCCCAGACUCCUACGGGAGGCAGCAGUAGGGAAUCUUCCGCAAUGGACGAAAGUCUGACGGAGCAACGCCGCGUGAGUGAUGAAGGAUUUCGGUUCGUAAAGCUCUGUUGUUAGGGGAGAACAAGUGCCGUUCAAAUAGGGCGGCACCUUGACGGUACCUAACCAGAAAGCCACGGCUAACUACGUGCCAGCAGCCGCGGUAAUACGUAGGUGGCAAGCGUUGUCCGGAAUUAUUGGGCGUAAAGCGCGCGCAGGCGGUCUUUUAAGUCUGAUGUGAAAGCCCACGGCUCAACCGUGGAGGGUCAUUGGAAACUGGGAGACUUGAGUACAGAAGAGGAGAGUGGAAUUCCACGUGUAGCGGUGAAAUGCGUAGAUAUGUGGAGGAACACCAGUGGCGAAGGCGACUCUCUGGUCUGUAACUGACGCUGAGGCGCGAAAGCGUGGGGAGCAAACAG
rnacentral:rRNA from 1 species